UACGUAGGGUGCAAGCAUUAAUCGGAAUUACUGGGCGUAAAGCGUGCGCAGGCGGCUUUGCAAGACAGAUGUGAAAUCCCCGGGCUUAACCUGGGAACUGCAUUUGUGACUGCAUGGCUAGAGUGCGGCAGAGGGGGAUGGAAUUCCGCGUGUAGCAGUGAAAUGCGUAGAUAUGCGGAGGAACACCGAUGGCGAAGGCAAUCCCCUGGGCCUGCACUGACGCUCAUGCACGAAAGCGUGGGGAGCAAACAGG
rnacentral:rRNA from 1 species